UGGGGAAUUUUGCGCAAUGGGCGAAAGCCUGACGCAGCGACGCCGCGUGGACGAAGACGGCCUUCGGGUUGUAAAGUCCUGUCAGUAGGAACGAUAAUGACGGUACCUGCUGAGGAAGCUCCGGCUGACUCCGUGCCAGCAGCCGCGGUAAGACGGAGGGAGCAAGCGUUGUCCGGAAUUACUGGGCGUAAAGAGCUCGUAGGCGGGAAUUUAAGUCUGGGAGUAAAUGCAUCGGCUUAACCGAUGAUUCAUCUUGGAUACUGGAUUUCUUGAGGGCAGGAGAGGAAAGGGGAAUUCCUGGUGUAGCGGUGAAAUGCGUAGAUAUCAGGAGGAACACCUGUGGCGAAGGCGCCUUUCUGGUCUGUUCCUGACGCUGAGGAGCGAAAGCCAGGGGAGCGAACG
rnacentral:rRNA from 1 species